GACGAACCGUGCGAACGUUAUUCGGAAUCACUGGGCUUAAAGGGCGCGUAGGCGGGCCGAAAAGUCAGGGGUGAAAUCCUCCAGCCCAACUGGAGAAGCGCCCUUUGGUACUGUCGGCCUCGAGGGGUGCAGGGGCAUGCGGAACUCAGGGUGGAGCGGUGAAAUGCGUAGAUAAUCCUGAGGAACACCGGUGGCGAAAGCGGCGGUGCUGGACACCUUCGUGACGCUGAGGCGCGAAAGCCAGGGGAGCGAACGGGA
rnacentral:rRNA from 1 species